GCCUCCCUAAAGGUAACGGAGGCAUGCAAAGGUUUCCUUGGGCUAAAUAUAGAUUGACCCUCAAGUGCAAAGGCAAAAGGGAGUUUGACUGUAAGACCUACCCAUUGAACAGGGAUGAAAACAGUUUGAUGUCGUUAUUCCUUACAUGGAGGCACACAAAACAUU
rfam:Vigna angularis cultivar Jingnong 6 scaffold383_75, whole genome shotgun sequence.